CCCCAGUUUCCCCAUUUGGCCAUUUCCUCCACUGAUCUCCUCUCUCUUUCUCUCAAAGCUCUUUAAUGGCAUCCUCUGCAGAAACCCCAUAUCUUCUUUGAACCUAAAACCCUUCUAAAACCCCUCAAUUUCUAAAUGUCUGUCUUCAAAACUCUCUUCCUCUCUAACCAUACAAAAGUUCUCCUCAAAACCCAAAACCCUCUUUACAAAAGCCUCCCUCCUUCACCACCCUUCAUAAUCAGAACCCUUAAUUCCUCUCCCCAUAAACCAACCAAGAAGCCACUUUCUCUAUUGUUUCAAGAUGCAGUUGGUUUAACUGAAAAUACUGGUGGAAAUGAAAGCCAGAGUGAAAGUGAAGGCGAGAAUAUUGAGCUAUUAAGGGAAUUGAGGAAAUUGGAGAGAGAAGUUAGGAAGUUGAAAGAAAACCCAAAAGGGAAAAAUAAAGAAAAAGAGGGAGUAGAGAGGGGAAAACCCAAUAAAGUUAAGAGUUUGGUGGAGUUGUUUAGGGGUGAAAAGGAAGAAGAGGUGGAAAGGAUUGUGAAAGUGAGGAGAGAAAGGGAAGAGGUAGUUUUCAAGGAUUUUUCGCAGUUAGCUGAGAUUUUCGUUAGGCAUUUGUAUGCCAAAGGGUAUUUUAACAAAGCUAAUUUUUUGGAAGACAACAAGUUAGAUUUUGGUUAUUUUGAUAAUAGUUAUGGCAGGGAUUUUAUCAAGUAUGCUGCUUUCAAGUUUGGUAAAGAUCAUCAAGAGAUUGCAAAGUGGUUGUCUGGCAAUCACUUGAAAAAGGUGGUGCUCUUUGGUUGCCCUUCCCUUGAUAAAAAUAAUGUCUUUGCUGCCAAGAGAUUGCGCAAGUUCUUUAAAAUUGAAGAAAACAUUGUUUGCAGUCAAUGCAUGUUAAAGGAUUCAUGCAAGUAUGUUAAUAAAAGUGUAUGGAAAGCUGGUACCAAGAAUUUGCUUCUGGUUGAUGUAAUGAAGGUUAUUACUUUGUAUGCUUUAGACCAAAUGCAUCCAAAGCUCACAGUUCCAGAUGAAGUAAAGGAUUCGGUGAACCAAUUGCUGAAGGAGGUUAUAAAGCUAAGUCAACCUACAUAACAAGGCUUCUAAAGUGUUCCUACAGAUUAUUGAUAUGAUCGCAAGAAAUAUGGAUGAAGUUUUUACUGGUAAUGAUCUUAUUGGCAGACAAGCACAUGUCUAGAGAAAGGUUUUUGAAGUAAAAUAUGGAUGGCUGAUGUCCCAGGAUUGUAAUUUGUAUUCAUGAAUGAUGCAAUUCCUUUGUUGACUGCUUACAAAGCUCUAGAUUAUAGAGGACUACCCACCUAUAAGAUUUUGAAUCAGAUUUGCGUUGCUGAUGCAUACAUGCAAUUCAACUGGGGAUAUGUUAUCUGGAAAUCGAAACGUAGAAGUUCCAGCAUAGGAAAAUACAAAUAGUGAAGCAAUUGGAAACUUGGUCCAUCCAAGGAACAAAUUAGAAGAAUAGAUUUUCUCAUUGACUGAACUUUUCUUUAUGGGUUAUGUGUUUCUGGCAUUCACCUAUAGGAUUUGGGGUAGUGGAGUUGUUCAACAGUUUCUUCUUUUAUGUUUGUCAAGUCAAAAUUUGGGAUUGUAGACAUGCAGCCAGCCAUGAAAGCUCUUUGGAAGUUUAUGUUAAAACUCUGAUAUGUUUGCCAACAGUCAUUGUCAACAGGAUUUGAAAGCUUGGG